rnacentral:rRNA from 1 species
ACAGCAGUAGCCGCGGUAAUACGUAGGGUGCGAGCGUUAAUCGGAAUUACUGGGCGUAAAGCGUGCGCAGGCGGUUCGUUAAGACAGAUGUGAAAUCCCCGGGCUUAACCUGGGAACUGCAUUUGUGACUGGCGGGCUGGAGUAUGGCAGAGGGGGGUAGAAUUCCACGUGUAGCAGUGAAAUGCGUAGAGAUGUGGAGGAAUACCGAUGGCGAAGGCAGCCCCCUGGGCCAAUACUGACGCUCAUGCACGAAAGCGUGGGGAGCAAACAGGAUUAGAUACCCCGGUAGUCCCUGUCUCUUAUAC